rnacentral:rRNA from 1 species
AGCAGCCGCGGUAAUUCCAGCUCCAAUAGCGUAUAUUAAAGUUGUUGCAGUUAAAAAGCUCGUAGUUGAAUUUCGGGAUUGACGUGAUGGUCGUGCCUUACGGGGUAUGAACUGUUGCUGUUGAUUUCUCACCUUCUGGAGAAACUUGAUGUCCUUAAUUGGGUGUCUUGCGGAUCCAGGACCUUUACCUUGAAAAAAUUAGAGUGUUUAAAGCAGGCAUUUUGCUCGAAUACAUUAGCAUGGAAUAAUAGAAUAGGACGGCAUGGUUCUAUUUUGUUGGUUUCUAGGAUCACCGUAAUGAUUAAUAGGGAUAGUUGGGGGCAUUAGUAUUCAAUUGUCAGAGGUGAAAUUCUUGGAUUUAUUGAAGACUAACUACUGCGAAAGCAUUUGCCAAGGAUGUUUUCAUUAAUCAAGAACGAAAGUUAGGGGAUCGAAGACGAUCAGAUACCGUUGUAGUCUUAACCAUAAACUAUGCCGACUAGGAAUCAGACGAUGUUAAUUUUUAAUGACUCGUUUG